rnacentral:rRNA from 1 species
CAAUAGCGUAUAUUAAAGUUGUUGCAGUUAAAAAGCUCGUAGUUGGAUUUCUGGUAGGAGCGACCGGUCACACACUCUGUGUGUGAACUUGCGUUGUCUCUGGCCAUCCUUGGGAAGAUCCUGUUUGGCAUUAAGUUGUCGGGCAGGGGAUACCCAUCGUUUACUGUGAAAAAAUUAGAGUGUUUAAAGCAGGCUUAUGCCGUUGAAUAUAUUAGCAUGGAAUAAUAAGAUAGGACUUCGGAACUAUUUUGUUGGUUUGCGUUACGAAGUAAUGAUUAAUAGGGACAGUUGGGGGUAUUCGUAUUUCGUUGUCAGAGGUGAAAUUCUUGGAUUUCCGAAAGACGAACUACUGCGAAAGCAUUUACCAAGGAUGUUUUCAUUAA